UCUAAUGAGUGUUUCUUUAGGUUCAUGGUACAGAGGAAGGGUCACACUACCACCAGGGUCAUGAAACUACUCCUGGAAAUGCCCACAACUCGUACAAAAGCCUUGUCAAGUAUGUGUUUCUUUAGGUUCACGGUACAGAGGAAGGGUCAAACUACCACCAGGGUCAUAAAACUACUCCUGGAAAUGCCCCAAACUCCUAUGAAAGCCUUGUCAAAUAUGUGUUUCUUUAGGUUCAUGGUACAGAGGAAGGGUCAAACUACCACCAGGGUCAUAAAACUACCCCUGGAAAUGCCCACAACUCCUAUGAAAGCCUUGUCAAGUAUGUGUUUCUUUAGGUUCACGGUACAGAGGAAGGGUCAAACUACCACCAGGGUCAUAAAACUACCCCUGGAAAUGCCCACAACUCCUACGAAAGCCUUGUCAAAUAUGUGUUUCUUUAGG